rnacentral:piRNA from 1 species
GUAUCAGGGAAUCCAGGUUUGGGCCUGCAGA